rnacentral:rRNA from 2 species
GACGGACCACACGAACGUUAUUCGGAAUUACUGGGCUUAAAGGGUGCGUAGGCUGUGCAGAAAGUUGGGUGUGAAAGCCCUCGGCUUAACCGAGGAACUGCGCCCAAAACUACUGUGCUCGAGGGAGACAGAGGUGAGCGGAACUUAGGGUGGAGCGGUGAAAUGCGUUGAUAUCCUAAGGAACACCGGUGGCGAAAGCGGCUCACUGGGUCUCUUCUGACGCUGAUGCACGAAAGCUAGGGGAGCGAACGGG